rnacentral:rRNA from 1 species
CCUACGGGAGGCAGCAGUGAGGAAUAUUGGUCAAUGGACGAGAGCCUGAACCAGCCAAGUAGCGUGAAGGAUGACUGCCCUAUGGGUUGUAAACUUCUUUUAUAUGGGAAUAAAAUGUUCCACGUGUGGGAUUUUGUAUGUACCAUAUGAAUAAGGAACGGCUAAUUCCGUGCCAGCAGCCGCGGUAAUACGGAGGGUCCGGGCGUUAUCCGGAUUUAUUGGGUUUAAAGGGAGCGUAGGUGGAAUGUUAAGUCAGUCGUGAAAGUUUGCGGCGCAACCGUAAAAUUGCAGUUGAAACUGGCAGUCUUGAGUGCAGUAGAGGUAUGCGGAAUUCGUGGUGUAGCGGUGAAAUGCUUAGAUAUCACGAAGAACUCCGAUUGCGAAGGCAGCUCACGGGAGUGCAACUGACGCUGAGGCUCGAAAGUGUGGGUAUCAAACAGGAUUAGAUACCCGUGUAGUC